UCAGUUAUAGAGCAGGAAACAUCAACAUCC
rnacentral:piRNA from 1 species